ensembl:snRNA U2 U2 spliceosomal RNA
AUCGCUUCUCGGCCUUUUGGCUAAGAUCAAGUGUAGAACUCGAGUGGAAUAAAAAUCUGAGCCUGUCUUUAUUGCAGUUUAUUUUGUGUCAUUUAUUACUAAGUGUGUGCAUAGGAAGAAGUGAAGUGCUGUGUCAGAAUGUCAGCUUACAAAGU